AUAUCUCUCCGUACGGGAAGGAUGAGAAGCUUCGACUAAGGUUCGAUUCGAGCGCAGCGAGAACGCGUUGCCGCAGGCAACGACCCGAAGGGCGAAGCGCGCAGCG
rnacentral:sRNA from 3 species